UCUGUAUCUAGAGGCAUUGCAGAUGUAGCUGAUAUGCCUGCCACAUAUGUGUCAGUAGGUGGCAGAGAAGCAAGAGGCUAUGUCUAUGCUCUUUGUUCUGACCUAUGAACAUCUAAAUUAUUAGUAGUCUAACAUU